UCGUUGAAGUGCACGGAAUUAUUGUACUGAUAACCGCUGAAACCAUUUGUGGAGAAGGAAGUUUUAACCACUUUGGAAGUUGUGCAUAUUGCCCAGCGGGUUCAUAUCAGGUUGGUGAUAGAUGUCAAUGGUGUGCACCAGGUUAUUACCAAAAAUAUGUUGGUCAGACAAAAUGUGUACUUUGUCCUCAGGGACAUAUUUCAUCUGUCGGAAGCAAUGCAAUCCAACAAUGUUAUGUUCCUGGUGCUCAAAACAAGGAGGAAGAAGAAGGUCUCUCGGCGGAAGUCAUUGUUGGUAUUGUUUCUGCAGUCAUCGCAUUCCUAGCUUUCGGUUUAUCUGUGUUAUUGUAUUUCAGAAAAAAUAAUUAAAAGAAAUCUGGCACAAACUAAACAAACAUAAAUCACAUGGUUUUAGCAGAUAUGUGCAAGGAAUGUAAAGGGUUCCUAUAUUCAAGGAGUUUGAAUUUUCCCGAGAAUCAAACGCGUGAUUAUUUUAUAUUCAUUGGCGAUAUUUUCAUGGGAUGGGACACAAUCAUAUAUAGAACACAGUACCUUUUUUUAAUACUUAAUGCGUACGAACUCAUACAAACACAGUCAUUUAAUCAUAAAAUACUCAGAAAAUCAAAAGUUUUAUAGCAAAGCUUCCGAUUUGAAAGUUAUGAACGUAAAAUAUGUCUAAUUUAUUCAAUUAUAUCAAUAGUGUGUCAACACAUUGAAUAUGCCUGAAAAAAUUGUCAAAUGAAUAGAAAAAAAGUUCUGUUGUAAAUAAAUUAAUAUGAAGUUCCCGAGUCUAGUGUAAAAUGUGGGUUGUGGUCAGAGCAUACUUGUAUUUUUUCUUUACAGUACACCUAUAAAUUGUGAUUUUAGUUUGUAUCCAGAAUUGAUUUAUUGUAUAUAGAAUUAACAAACUUAUUUUUUAUAGGAUUAACCUUGUUACAAAAUGUAAAUUUAUUCUAAUGAUUUAUGUCUUGUAAACAAAGUUGCGGGGUAGUUCGACAAACAAAUCAAAAGGUUGAACAUUCUUUAUAAUAAGAUGUUUUUUAGGUAAUUUCUUUCAAUAGUGUCUGUAAAAUUUCAAAAGAAAAAUUUAAUUAUUUUUUUAAACAGGGCAGAAAGCUGAAAUCUUUAAUUUUGUAGUUUUUGUAAAGAUAGAAAACUUUGAUUUAGAUUGCUAGUACGCUGGAAUAGCUCUU